AAUGGAAGGCUGAGUGACUUUGUCUUUGCAGGCCUCCUUUCCCUGUGAGGUAGGAAUACGGCGCUACGGGGGUUUAACCGAGUUGAACGGUGCUUUUGUUCCGAGGGAACGGGGCUGUCUCCUCAGCUGGCCUGUUGUGUUCACCUCCGCACUUUGGAACGUGCCCUUGGACUUGAGACCUGAAGUUUCUCAGAUCAAGAGAUUCAGGUUCCAGCGUUGGGAUAACUGCACUGAGCUAUGAUGCAAGCACAUGACUUGUUUAGGCAUAUGCGGAUUCCUGAACUUGUGGAUGUCAGGCAGUAUGUGCGCACCCUUCCGACAAACACCCUGGUGGGUUUUGGUGCUUUCGCAGCCCUCACAACCUACUGGUACGCAACAAGACCAAAGGCACUGAAGCCACCGUGUGACUUAGCAAUGCAGUCUGUGGAAGUAGUGGGUGAAGAGAAGGCUCCAAGG